rnacentral:rRNA from 1 species
CUACGGGCUGCUGCAGUGAGGAAUUUUGCGCAAUGGGGGCAACCCUGACGCAGCAACGCCGCGUGAGUGAAGAAGGCCUUUGGGUCGUAAAGCUCUGUCGACAGGGAAGAAGUUAUUGUUGUUUAAUAGAUGACAGUAUUGACGGUACCUGUAGAGGAAGCACCGGCUAACUCCGUGCCAGCAGCCGCGGUAAUACGGGGGGUGCAAGCGUUAUUCGGAAUUAUUGGGCGUAAAGGGCGCGUAGGCGGUCUUGUCGGUCAGAUGUGAAAGCCCAGGGCUCAACCCUGGACGUGCAUUUGAAACAGCAAGACUUGAGUACGGGAGAGGAAAGCGGAAUUCCUGGUGUAGAGGUGAUAUUCGUAGAUAUCAGGAGGAACACCGAUGGCGAAGGCAGCUUUCUGGACCGAUACUGACGCUGAGGCGCGAAGGUGUGGGUAGCGAACGGGAUUAGAUACCCCCGUAGUC